rnacentral:tRNA from 1 species
GGGGUUUUAGUUUAACUAAAAUAUAUGUUUUGCAUACACAAGAUUACAACUCUA